rnacentral:rRNA from 1 species
CCCUUAGAUGUUCUGGGCUGCACGCGCGCUACACUGAUGCGAUCAACAAGUUUUUCCUAUGUCGAUAGACACGGGUAAUCUUUUGAACUCGCAUCGUGAUGGGGAUAGAUUAUUGUAAUUAUUAAUCUUCAACGAGGAAUUCCUAGUAGGUGCAAAUCAUCAGUUUGCAUCGAUUACGUCCCUGCCCUUUGUACACACCGCCCGUCGCUGCUACCGAUUGGUUGAUCUGGUGAAUUAUUCGAACUGCCGGCUGAAGGGGUUUCCUCAUCUGCCAGCGGAAAGUCUUGUUAACCCUAUCAACUAGAGGAAGCAGAAGUCGUAACA